GAGUCAAUGUUGGACUUGUGACUAGGAGCUGGCAGUGGAAACCCUAAAUCCCGGGGUUUGCACCUCUAUUUAAAGGGGUCUUAGCCUCCUUUGGCCUCUUUACAGUCCUUGAGAGCCCCUUAAAACCCUAAUCCGUGUGUGUGUGCCUUGGUGUGGUGUUUGAAGCUUGGAAAAGAGGAUAUUGAACGAAGAAGCUAAGAGUGCAAAGGAAAUUGAAGCAAGGAAGGAGUGGGAAGCAGGAUUUACCUCAGCUAGCAUCCUUUGGAGGUGGUAGAGCCUCUGUCAAGUGAUCCGAGAGUUGUUGUAGUUUACCUUUCAUGUCGACAUCUGCGAGGUGAGUUAUCCUCACUAUAUCGUUAGGGUCUACGGCACAAAGGUCGGCCCUUUAAUUGUUAUUGUCAUGGUAUGUUACAUGUGGUUAUGAUUUGUUAGAUCAGAAUCAGGGUAGACAGUAUGUUAUGCUCUUAUGAUCCGUAGGGAUUGGUAUGUUCGUAACGUGCUAGGUCGGUACUCUAGUUACAGGAGAAUUCUAUGAUUGAUGAUUAGUGUGACAGAUAUGUUUGAUGUUUGUAUAUGCAUGUAUGUGAUAGUAUGCGCACAUGGUUAUUUGUUGGUGGUUAGGUUGAGGCGGUCCUACUUUCUGCUGAAGGCCAACAUACCCUAUGAGCGGUCCGGGGAGACUAAAGGCCAACAUACCCUAUGAGCGGUCCGGGGAGACUAAAGGCCAACAUACCCUAUGAGCGGUCCGGGGAGACUGUAGACCCAAGUGGCGGACUAGUCAUGCCGAAGGCUUGGGAUAGGGUCAGACAGACUGUAGGCCCGGUAUGGCGGUCCAGUCAGGCCGAUGGCCCAAUAUGCAUGUUGAUUGAUUGAUUAUUACUAAUAUCGUAUUGUCAAUGUGGUAUUCGUAUUUUGGGAGUAGCUCACUAAGCCCUCGGGCUUACAGUUUUCAGUUUAUUGUUUCAGGUACUUCAGGUGAUCAUGGAAAGGCGAAGGCAUGACCGCACCGCUCCUCAUCCUUAUGUUAUGAUUUUUAGGACACUCUGAUGGAAAAAUGAUUUGAAAACAUUUUGUAAACAAUGCUAUUUGGUUUUUAUUUACGAUUAAAAAAGUUUAAAUUUGGCGUA
rnacentral:lncRNA from 1 species